CUACACUAAGGUGGAGGAAAAUGUAGAUAAAAUGAAAACCUUCAGUUAGCUAAUGCAACAAGUUGGGCCAGCUAACUACAGCUAACUAGCUAACUAACUAGAAAGACAAACUGACAGAUAAACAGGUUUAUCAGUUUGCUGCUCAGACACAAACGAGCAUGAACAACAACAACAGCUGU